GAGAAGAAAAGAAGAAGAAAAUUGGCAGCCCGUUCAAAUGGCGCGCGCGCCAUGAGGAAAACACAAAAUUCCAGUUUGACGAAGACAGCGUAGUCAAACAGUUUCAUAAGCGCUGGGUGUUGAUGUGGGAACGGGUAUCGUAGGCUGGCAUGCAAACACAAUGAUUGUUGGGGGAAAUGCAAGACGAUGUUCCCGCGCGACCUCUUCACUUCACGGCUGACCUAUAGACGAGCCCGGACGACAUUUAGAUAAAAGAAGAGCAAACGACAGCCACUUUUCCGCGAGGGUAAGGGCAAUAGCCGCAGGCUGGGACCUCUGGCCGCCUCUGGCUGGGACCGCGUGGACCCGCCGUUCGCCCUUACCUUCGGUUCCUUCGGGUCCUUCGAGCUCCACGCGGGCACGUCGCCAGGGGGCCCACAGCCGACCGGUCAACGGAAUAAAAACAAGAAAAAAGACAGGCAUCUCUCGAAAUUUAGAGCAAGGUUUCGCUGGUUCAUACUGUGCUGCCACAGGUUACCCUAAGAGAGAGUGGUCCAGAGCCAAGUUCGUUGGAGGCAAUUCGUAACACACAACUCAGGGCAGAGGGUAUGACUUGCCAGAAAAUCCGAAGACCACACCGCACUUGAGUGGGCUAUGCGAACUUGAGGUGAUUCUUGGCGUGCAUAAACACUAUCGAUCCUCUAACGCCCCUGGCGUCAGGCGCCCCUGGCAUUCCCUGCUUCCUCGAGCGUGGCGACGCCCCACGCCCCUGUUGCCUUGAGGCCCCACCGUCCGAGCAACACUAGUAGUGUGCUGGUCUGCUCCAGAGGCGGCAGAGUGCAUCUCCAACCGACAAUGCCAUGACAUCGAAGACGAUCUGCCACUCGCCUUGACGGCAGCUUUCCCGGGACAGAGUUUCGCCGAUUUUACUAUUCGCUCUGUUUUCUAAACCCUAUUACACUAAGCAGCCUUUCUCGUCAAUCUUAGAAAGGGCAGAUCUUGUCCACUAGAAGGGCACAAGGGCCUGCCCAGGGCAGCCCAGGGCUCGGUGCAAUGCUAAACCAGACGUCCCCCAGACGUGCAUUGAACGUUGCCCCGCGAGACGAGGACGUCGCGUCUGGCUCAUUGACGAGAAAGACAGAGACAACACGACAAGGAGAAUACUACAGUAACCAAGUGUUUCAUAUCGAUGUUUUUCUACACCCUGGCUGUGUUUCCAAGUCCUUCUGCGCGGAAGGAAGAAAGAAAAAAAAAACAAAGGAGCAUCGACUUCCGCGCACACUUCGCCGCGGCGUGGAUCCAGUUUCCGAGAUCCCUUCCCUGCCACCACACCACAACAACAACUGGGAUGGCGAGGCGUAAGAGCCGCGAAUCGCGGAUUAGCGACCCGGUGCCAAAUCCUUCCACGCGCCGAAGCACUCGGUCGCACUCGGAAUUACCGGCCCUAUCGGCUGUUCGAGUGGCCGUCGGUUCGCUCGCGCAACCCGACAUUGUCGCACACUCGUCCUUUGGUCCUUCCCGGCACGUGGCGCCGCGCAAAGCCGCAAAGCACACUGCCAAGACGCCAAGUCGACACGGACCACGAGUCCUUACUGCCAGUUCUUUCGGCUCUAAAACAUUUCGAAAAAUUUACACAAUGGUCUCUCAGUCAAAGUAAAGUUUACUUUUUUAAAAAAUCCGAAUCUUUUUGAUGUGCCACCUUGUGUGCCACCCCUUUUAUCGAAUGCAAAUUAUGAAUAAUGCCCCCUAGCUCCCCCCCAAAAAAGCCAGCGGCCCCAAACUAACUCUGUGGUGCACACAGCCCGGCGGGUGGAUUAAGAAUUAAUCUGCGAUUGGCUUUUGCGGCCGCCUCGUGACCCCAGCUGUCGUGACCCUCUCUCUCUCUCUCUC
rnacentral:lncRNA from 1 species